UGAAGAGCAGUAUCUAUCAUGGACGUAAGCUUCCUUCAUCUGAAGAUGUUUCUGUCAAGGUCAACCUGGAUUGUUAUGUUUGGGAUUGCUAUGCAUCACUCCUUCCUUGUCUGAGAUUCUUCACUGAUUGAAGAGCAGUAUUCAUCCUGGACAAAACUUGAUUCAUCAGAAGAUGUUUCUAUCAAGGUCAACUGUUUGUGAUUGCUAUACAUCACUCCUUCCUUGUUUGAGAUUAUUCAUUGGUUCAAGAGCAGUAUCUAUUAGGGACAAGAGCUCCCUCCUGGCAUGAGGUAUGUUGAAACCCUACACUAAGCACGUUGAAUACAGAUUCUUCACUGAUUGAAGAGCAGUAUUCAUCCUGGACAAAACUUGAUUCAUCGGAAGAUGUUUCUAUCAAAGUCAACUGUUUGGGAUUGCUAUGCAUCUUUCCUUCCUUGUUUGAGAUAAUGGAGUGUAUGUAGAGGUCUAUCACGGACAAAGCUUUAUUCAACUGACAAUGUUUCUGUCAAGGUCAACCCGGAUUGUUAUGUUUUGGACCACUGUACUUCACUCUUUCCUAGCAUUAGAUUGUUGGGUAAUUGAAGAGCAGUAUCUCUCCAUGAUGAAAUUGGUUCUACCCAAGAGAUUAGUACGGAUCACUCCUGUCUUAGUGGGGCUUCUAUCAUGGACAAAAGCUUUCUUCAGCUGAAGAGUUUGCUAUGAAUCACUCCUUCCUUGUCCUAGAUUGUUGAGUAAAUCAGGAGCAGUAACUGUGAACGAUUAAGGAUGACUCUACCUAAGAGAUUAUGUUUGAGAUUAUGGAGUGAAUGAAGAGCAUCAAUGAUGGACAACAGCUUUAUUCAACUAAAGAGGUUUCUAUCAAGAUCAACCCAGAUUGUUAUGUUUUGGACUCCUAUGCUUCACUCCUUCCUUGCAAGAGAUGAUGAAGUGAAUGAAGAGAAUCAAUGAUGAACAAAAGCUUUAUUCAACUGAAGAUGUUUCUAUCAAUGGUCAACCCAGACUGUUAUAUGUUGGACCGCUAUGCUUCACUCCUUCCUUGCAUGAGGUUAUUCACUGGUUGAAGAGCAGUCUCUAUCAAGGACGAAAGCUUUCUUCAUGAGAAGAUGUUUCUAUAAAGGUCAACCUGGAUUGAUAUGUUUGGGAUGGCUUUGCAUCACUCCUCCCUUGACCGAGAUUUAUGGAGUGAAUGAAGAGUAUCUUUUACAAACAUGAGCUUCCUUUAUCUGAAGAUGUAUCUGUCAAGAUCAACCCGGAUUGUUAUGCUUUGGACUGCUAUGCUUCACUCCUUCCUUGCAUGAGAUUGUUGAGUAUUUGAUGAAGUGAAUGAAGAGCAUCUAUCACGGACCAAAGCUUUCUUCAACUGAAGAUUUUUCUGUCAAGGUCAACCCGGAUUGUUAUGUUUAGGACCGCAAUGCUUCACUCCUUCCUUGCAUGAGAUUAUGGUCUGAAUGAAGAGCAUCUUUCACGGAAAAAAAAGCUGUCUUUAUCAGAAGAUGUUUCUGUCAAGGUCAGCCUGGAUAUAUUUUGGACUGCUGUGCUUCACUCCUUCUUUGCAUGAGAUUGUUGAGUAAUUGAUGAAGUGACUGAAGAGGAUGUAUCACGGACACAAGCUUUAAUCAACUGAAGAUGUUUCUAUCAAGGUCAACCCGGAUUGUUUUGGACCGCUAUGCAUGACUCCCUACUUGCAUGAGAUUGUUGAGUAAUUGAUGAAGUGAAUGAAGAGUAUCUAUCACGGCCACAAGCUUUAUGCAAGUGAAGAUGUUGCUAUCAAGAUCAACCCGGAUCGUUCUGUUUUGGACCUCCAUGCGUCACUCCUUGCACGAGAUUGUUGAGUAAUCGAAGAGUUUGUUUCUAUCAAAGAGAUUGCAACGGAUGACUCCGCGAUCGUCAGAUGUAUUUUGGAAACGUAAACUGAACAUAGUCGGCAAGGUGGCUGUUACCGGUGAACUAAUAGUGGAAUGCAUUGUCUGAUUAUGAUGUAGAACCUAAAUAUUGGUUGGAGUAUUAAUAAUGAUAGCAUUACAUAGGAGUAUGAUGACGAUUAAGUUGAUUACAGUAAUUUUCCAUUGUAAUGAUUGCAAGUAAUGAGUACUAAUAAAAAAUGAAUAAAUAAUGAUGAAUUAUAAGCAAAUGAAAUGAGAAGUGUUGAAUUUGUUGUGUGAAAAUUUUAAAUAUAUUUUAAUGCGUUAGUAAUGGUAAGAACAAUUGAAUGGAGAAGCAUAAAAUUCAGGGUGAAUUAUAAUGGGUAAAGAAGUAGAAAAGAAAAAAAAGCGACGGUACACUAUCCACGGCCAUCUGUACAAGAAUACCAACUGUCUAAAAAGCGACGGUACACUAUCCACGGCCAUCUGUACGGGAAUACCAACUGUGUUAAAAGCGCGAGUACACUAUCCACGGCCAUCUGUACGAGAAUACCAACUGUCUAAAAAGCGCGAGUACACUAUCCACGGCCAUCUGUACGAGAAUACCAACUGUCUAAAAAGCGCGAGUACACUAUCCACGGCCAUCUGUACGAGAAUACCAACUGUCUAAAAAGCGCGAGUACA